CUCUCCCUGUGAUUUCAGGCCCUUUGACAACACACACAAAGACAGAAGGCAUUUCCAGACAGACAGACAGCAAAAGUCAACCUCUUUUCAAGGACAGAUAGGAGAGAAACAACAAACUGCAGAUCCUGGCAGGCUAGAGCGACACAGCAAGGUCUCCUGACAAUGGCGAGGAAAGACUCUCCGGAAAGAGAUGAUGGUGUGUGAGCUGCUUCCCAUGGUCAAUCGCCUGUGUGGAUCAUACGUUGUCUUAUCAUCAGCUGUCCGUCCAUUGUCCUGUGCAACAGAGUGAAACCACAUCAAAUCUAUGGUGCCAAAGGCCCGGACUCCGAAUGCAGGAGCUGGAGCUAAACAUCGAACCGAUGGACUCUGCAAUACUGUAUUAUUCUGUGGGAGACCAAACUUAUUUUUCAGUGGGUCGUCUUGAAGUGGGUCGUCUUGAACUUCUGGAUAUGACCCAGGACGAGAUUCUCUUUUGGAGUUUACACUUGGCAACUCCUCUGCAGUGUUUUUACAGAAUACAGACCAAAGUUAAAGACCAUGUUAUGGAGGACACAGUGGACUAUGGGAUAAGGGGUUUAGAGACUUAUUAAAGUUGAUAAAACAUGCAAUCCUGUAUUCCCACUUACACUUUGAUAGACAUACCCACAAAUGUACCCACGGUGACUUAUUUCGCAGAGUAAUUGUGUACAAAUUAAUGACAAUAAUUGGAAGGCAAAAGAAAUAAGUCAAAGGACAUUGUGUAAUUUGUCAAUGACAUUUAUUUUAGACUACUAAACUGUACUUGUGUACUCACUGCUCUAUUUUGAACAUUAAUUAAAUCAGAUUUACAUUUUC